rnacentral:rRNA from 1 species
UACGGAGGGAGCUAGCGUUGUUCGGAAUUACUGGGCGUAAAGCGCGCGUAGGCGGCUUUGUAAGUUAGAGGUGAAAGCCCGGGGCUCAACCCCGGAAUUGCCUUUAAGACUGCAUCGCUUGAAUCCGGGAGAGGUGAGUGGAAUUCCGAGUGUAGAGGUGAAAUUCGUAGAUAUCGGGAGGAACACCAGUGGCGAAGGCGGCGAUCUGGGAAGAUACUGACGCUGAGGUGCGAAAGCGUGGGGAGCGAACAGG